rnacentral:lncRNA from 1 species
AACACGUAACAGAAGGAAAAGAAGAAGAUGAGAAAAGGCCAGUGAGAAUACAUUCAAAAUUUGUAGCCAACUGUGGUGAAUAAUGGUGAAAAAUCCAAGGAAAUUUCAGAGACAGGUACUGCAGCAUUUAUUUCCUUAUCUAUCUAUCUAUCUAUAUGCAUUUGGAUAUUACAAUAUUAUAUUCUAUAUGACAGCGACCAGUUGUUGAACUUCGUAAUGGUAUGCUUAAGUGAUAAAAUGGCUGAAAAAUAUUAUUAAAAUUACCUUGUUACUCAUAUCUUAAAUUUAAAAAUAUAUUUUAAUAAUAAUACAUCUUUUUCAUAAUUGAAAUUAUUUUAAAAAACUUUGCGUUAUGUUGAUGUUCUGUAUCAGUUUAUAUAUAUAUAUAUAUAUAUAUAUAUAUAUAUAUAUAUAUAUAUUUGACCUGAUUAACUGCAGAUGUAAUUCAGAUGUGACGAGCAUGAUAAUGGAUGGAGUAAACAGAUGUUGGUGAAAAAGUACAUGGAGGUGAUAGAGAAUAAGAAAGAAUAAAUGAUGGAGGAACAAUGAUUGAAUUCCCAUGUAUUAAUUAUGAGAGACCAGAAAUAUCAGAAUAUAUACCAGCUAUGUUUUUACUUUACAAACUACAAGCUUUAUGUAAAACUUUUAUCUCUAUCUUAGUCUCUUAAAUCCAAAUUUCUUGUUAACUUGUAAUUAAGUUAAUGAAAUCUGGUGUAAUUAUUAAAUUUUUUGACAG